rnacentral:rRNA from 1 species
AGUGAACGCUGGCGGUAGGCCUAACACAUGCAAGUCGAACGGCAGCACAGGAGAGCUUGCUCUCUGGGUGGCGAGUGGCGGACGGGUGAGGAAUACAUCGGAAUCUACCUUUUCGUGGGGGAUAACGUAGGGAAACUUACGCUAAUACCGCAUACGACCUACGGGUGAAAGUGGGGGACCGCAAGGCCUCACGCGAUUAGAUGAGCCGAUGUCCGAUUGGCUAGUUGGCGGGGUAAUGGCCCACCAAGGCGACGAUCGGUAGCUGGUCUGAGAGGAUGAUCAGCCACACUGGAACUGAGACACGGUCCAGACUCCUACGGGAGGCAGCAGUGGGGAGUAUUGGACAAUGGGCGCAAGCCUGAUCCAGCCAUACCGCGUGGGUGAAGAAGGCCUUCGGGUUGUAAAGCCCUUUUGUUGGGAAAGAAAUCCUGUCGAUUAAUACUCGGUGGGGAUGACGGUACCCAAAGAAUAAGCACCGGCUAACUUCGUGCCAGCCGCCGCGGUAAAAC